rnacentral:rRNA from 1 species
ACACAUGCAAGUCGAGCGGCAGCGCGGGGCAACCUGGCGGCGAGCGGCGAACGGGUGAGUAAUACAUCGGAACGUGCCCAGACUGGGGGAUAACUACUCGAAAGAGUGGCUAAUACCGCAUACGAUCUAAGGAUGAAAGCGGGGGAUCGCAAGACCUCGCGCGUUUGGAGCGGCCGAUGGCAGAUUAGGUAGUUGGUGGGUAAAGGCUUACCAAGCCCGCGAUCUGUAGCUGGUCUGAGAGGAUGAUCAGCCACACUGGGACUGAGACACGGCCCAGACUCCUACGGGAGGCAGCACGUGGGGAAUUUUGGACAAUGGGCGAAAGCCUGAUCCAGCCAUUCCGCGUGCAGGAAUGAAGGCCCUCGGGUUGUAAACUGCUUUUGUACAGAACGAAAAAGCUCUUUCUAAUACAGAGAGUCCAUGACGGUACUGUAAGAAUAAGCACCGGCUAACUACGUG